rnacentral:sRNA from 10 species
UUAAUAAAUACACAUCAGCAAUAUAGAACUGAGGGCAAACCUCGGAGCCUUUUUAAAAAUUAUGCCUGGUGUACCCUAUGAUGAAUACCAUGAUGUCUCAUAUAUUCUGGUCAUGGCUCGGCGUUUUUUCUGUGUCGAUCCUUUUCUGGUCUCAGCUCAUCUGGCUGGCCUUCCUGUUUAUCCAAAACCUCGCUUCGGCGGGGUAUAAGUUUUC